GGGGUACUCGAGUGGCGAACGGGUGAGUAACACGUGGGUGAUCUGCCCUGCACUUUGGGAUAAGCCUGGGAAACUGGGUCUAAUACCGAAUACACCCUGCUGGUCGCAUGGCCUGGUAGGGGAAAGCUUUUGCGGUGUGGGAUGGGCCCGCGGCCUAUCAGCUUGUUGGUGGGGUGAUGGCCUACCAAGGCGACGACGGGUAGCCGGCCUGAGAGGGUGACCGGCCACACUGGGACUGAGAUACGGCCCAGACUCCUACGGGAGGCAGCAGUGGGGAAUAUUGCACAAUGGGCGCAAGCCUGAUGCAGCGACGCCGCGUGAGGGAUGACGGCCUUCGGGUUGUAAACCUCUUUCAGCACAGACGAAGCGCAAGUGACGGUAUGUGCAGAAGAAGGACCGGCCAACUACGUGCCAGCAGCCGCGGUAAUACGUAGGGUCCGAGCGUUGUCCGGAAUUACUGGGCGUAAAGAGCUCGUAGGUGGUUUGUCGCGUUGUUCGUGAAAACUCACAGCUUAACUGUGGGCGUGCGGGCGAUACGGGCAGACUAGAGUACUGCAGGGGAGACUGGAAUUCCUGGUGUAGCGGUGGAAUGCGCAGAUAUCAGGAGGAACACCGGUGGCGAAGGCGGGUCUCUGGGCAGUAACUGACGCUGAGGAGCGAAAGCGUGGGGAGCGAACAGGAUUAGAUACCCUGGUAGUCCACGCCGUAAACGGUGGGUACUAGGUGUGGGUUUCCUUCCUUGGGAUCCGUGCCGUAGCUAACGCAUUAAGUACCCCGCCUGGGGAGUACGGCCGCAAGGCUAAAACUCAAAGGAAUUGACGGGGGCCCGCACAAGCGGCGGAGCAUGUGGAUUAAUUCGAUGCAACGCGAAGAACCUUACCUGGGUUUGACAUGCACAGGACGCCGGCAGAGAUGUCGGUUCCCUUGUGGCCUGUGUGCAGGUGGUGCAUGGCUGUCGUCAGCUCGUGUCGUGAGAUGUUGGGUUAAGUCCCGCAACGAGCGCAACCCUUGUCUCAUGUUGCCAGCACGUUAUGGUGGGGACUCGUGAGAGACUGCCGGGGUCAACUCGGAGGAAGGUGGGGAUGACGUCAAGUCAUCAUGCCCCUUAUGUCCAGGGCUUCACACAUGCUACAAUGGCCGGUACAAAGGGCUGCGAUGCCGUGAGGUGGAGCGAAUCCUUUCAAAGCCGGUCUCAGUUCGGAUCGGGGUCUGCAACUCGACCCCGUGAAGUCGGAGUCGCUAGUAAUCGCAGAUCAGCAACGCUGCGGUGAAUACGUUCCCGGGCCUUGUACACACCGCCCGUCACGUCAUGAAAGUCGGUAACACCCGAAGCCGGUGGCCU
rnacentral:rRNA from 1 species